CCUACGGGCGGCAGCAGUGAGGAAUAUUGGUCAAUGGACGAGAGUCUGAACCAGCCAAGUAGCGUGAAGGAUGACUGCCCUAUGGGUUGUAAACUUCUUUUAUAUGGGAAUAAAAUGUUCCACGUGUGGGAUGUUGUAUGUACCAUAUGAAUAAGGAUCGGCUAACUCCGUGCCAGCAGCCGCGGUAAUACGGAGGAUCCGAGCGUUAUCCGGAUUUAUUGGGUUUAAAGGGAGCGUAGGUGGGUUGUUAAGUCAGUUGUGAAAGUUUGCGGCUCAAACGUAAAAUUGCAGUUGAAACUGGCAGUCUUGAGUACAGUAGAGGUGGGCGGAAUUCGUGGUGUAGCGGUGAAAUGCUUAGAUAUCACGAAGAACUCCGAUUGCGAAGGCAGCUCACUGGACUGCAACUGACACUGAGGCUCGAAAGUGUGGGUAUCAAACAGGAUUAGAUACCCUUGUAGUC
rnacentral:rRNA from 1 species